AUUGAACGCUGGCGGCAUGCUUUACACAUGCAAGUCGAGCGGCAGCGCGGGGGCAACCCUGGCGGCGAGCGGCGAACGGGUGAGUAAUACAUCGGAACGUACCCAGGAGUGGGGGAUAGCCCGGCGAAAGCCGGAUUAAUACCGCAUACGAUCUACGGAUGAAAGUGGGGGACCUGCAAGGGCCUCACGCUUUUGGAGCGGCCGAUGUCCGAUUAGCUAGUUGGUGGGGUAAAGGCCACCAAGGCGACGAUCGGUAGCUGGUCUGAGAGGAUGAUCAGCCACACUGGGACUGAGACACGGCCCAGACUCCUACGGGAGGCAGCAGUGGGGAAUUUUGGACAAUGGGGGGAACCCUGAUCCAGCCAUGCCGCGUGCGGGAAGAAGGCCU
rnacentral:rRNA from 1 species